GACGAACGCUGGCGGCGUGCCUAAUACAUGCAAGUAGAACGCUGAAGGAGGAGCUUGCUUCUCUGGAUGAGUUGCGAACGGGUGAGUAACGCGUAGGUAACCUGCCUGGUAGCGGGGGAUAACUAUUGGAAACGAUAGCUAAUACCGCAUAAGAGUAGAUGUUGCAUGACAUUUGCUUAAAAGGUGCAAUUGCAUCACUACCAGAUGGACCUGCGUUGUAUUAGCUAGUUGGUGGGGUAACGGCUCACCAAGGCGACGAUACAUAGCCGACCUGAGAGGGUGAUCGGCCACACUGGGACUGAGACACGGCCCAGACUCCUACGGGAGGCAGCAGUAGGGAAUCUUCGGCAAUGGACGGAAGUCUGACCGAGCAACGCCGCGUGAGUGAAGAAGGGUUUCGGAUCGUAAAGAUCUGUUGUAAGAGAAGAACGAGUGUGAGAGUGGAAAGUUCACACUGUGACGGUAGCUUACCAGAAAGGGACGGCUAACUACGUG
rnacentral:rRNA from 1 species